GGCCGCAAGGCUGAAACUCAAAAUGAUUUUGACGGUGACCCGCACAAGCGAUGGAGCAUGGGUUAAUUCGAUGCAAACGCGAAGAACCUUGCAUCUCUUGACAUCCUCUUAAAGCUUUAGAGAUAAGAGUUUGCUUUCGGGAAAAGAUGACAGGUGUGCAUGGCUGUCGUCAGUCGGUCGUGAGAUGUUGGGUUAAGUCCCGUAAGCGAGCGCAACCCUUAUCCUUAGUUUCCAGCACAUAAUGGUGGGAACUCUAAGGAGUCUGCCGGUGAUAAACCGGAGGAAGGUGGGGACGACGUCAAGUCAUCAUGGCCCUUAUGGGUAGGGAAACACGUGCUACAAUGGCCAGUACAGAGGGUUGCGAACUCGCGAGAGCAAGCUAAUCUCAACAAAGCUGGUC
rnacentral:rRNA from 1 species